rnacentral:tRNA from 1 species
AGCUCAGUCGGUUAGAGCGCUUGAUUGUGGUUCAAGAGGCCGCGGGUUCGAAUCCCGUCU